CAUAUUGGGGAGAGGAAAGUCCGAGCAACACAGAGCGCUGCGCUUUCUAACGGAAAGAUGUCCGUAAGGGUAUAGUAUAGUGGAAGAAAACAACCGCCAUGUAGUAAUAUGUGGUAAGGGUGAGAAGGUGAGGUAAGAGCUCACCAUUGUCUAUGGCAACAUAGAUAGAUGUGCUACUCGCGGGUUGCAAGACCAUGUAUACCGACAUUUAAGGACUGCUCGUCCGUUGUCGGGGGGUAGGUUGCUAACAUUAGUAGUUCGAGAGAUCGACUACAUAGAUAAAUGACGAAAGUUAUUUGUAAUGAAAGUUACAAAUUUCACAGAACUCGGCUUAUAUUUUAUCCU
rnacentral:RNase_P_RNA from 1 species